GAUAUCUACGGGGUUUACACAUCCACUUCAGGAGCCUCGCCAUUUGUCAGAAUACAUGACUGAUUCUUGCGGACAAAUCGUGAUGUGGCAUUUGUUCUUCCAGUUCUGGUUUUCAACGAAAAGCGCCAGUACUGCGACUGGGCCUACAAUGUUGAAGCGCCAUGUGGUUCUCACGUGGGUGUGAUUGGCUAACAGACUACAUCCGGGUGUCACAACUACCACCAUUCGUCGUUAUUGUUACUGAAUGUCAUAUCAAGCGUUUGAAUGUGGAUGUCGAUCCUUUGGUAUCCAAAGCUUAGGAUCAAAUAAAGACUUUUAAGCA
rnacentral:misc_RNA from 1 species